UCACGUGCGCUCCGGGCCCGGAGGUGCACAAUGAGCAGAGGGGGUGUAAGUAAGGGGGUGUAAGCAAAGGGUUGGGUAGUGUUCCGCGGCUGGCAGCUCCCGGAGCUGGAGCAGAGAGGGCGGGAAGCCGGGCUUCCUUGAGCGCUUAUUGGGUGCCGGCAGUACUGGGCCUGCGCCUGGCGUCCUCUUUCUUCCAGGGUCGUCCCAGCCAAAGGACAGAGGGGAAACUGAGGCGCACAGCAGGACUGAGACUGAAUCAUUCACUGAUGAGUCUACAGAACAGUCAAUACACAGUAGGCUCUUUAUAAGAUAUAAUGAAUGAAGAUGGCAAGGCUGUCUCUGCUGCUGAAGGACCAGGCUGAGGAGGUACCAUUUAAUUAGCUUGAUGACCUAACAACUCAGGAAUUGAAGUAUCACUACUUAGUCUUUUUUGGAAAUGAAAACUAACAAUAACACUGUCGGUACUCCAUUGAAGUGGAAUCUUAUGGGUUCUUUGGAGAGUCAGUUGUGUUGAUGGCUGGAGUAAACACGUGAGGAGCGUUUUCCUGAAGCAGACACAGGUGGGAGGCUAAGGCAGACUUGAGAAGGAAUGUUUCACUGAAGCAGACACAGGAGAAAGGAAGUCCUGCUAAAGCAAGCACGUGAAAGGACACGUGAUGAAGGAUUCUUCAAUAACAGUGCAUGUAUUGGUCCACCUUACAUUGUGUAAUUGAGCUUCAUUUGUCAGGACUCCGUAGAGAGAAAUGCACCAAAAAACGUCUGGUGGUGUGCUGCGGCUCUUCCUCAGACUCAGGCUGAGUGACAGAAUGGGACAGACACUCACUGAGGCAAGACACGUGCAGAGGUGAGACCUGUAGAGGACACCUAAUGUUUGGAGGGAGUAUAGAGAGAACUCAGUGGACAGUGAUGGAGGCUGAGCUAGGCUUGCUCAUAGAGCUAGCAGUGCAAUGCCUGUGAGUCUCGCGUCUUCUCUGAUCUUCGCUUCCCUUUGAGAGGCACAGAGGAACUUCUUCUGGCACCCCUCCUGGUCCCUCCUGCUGACUUGUGCUGAGGCUGGGGCCUGCCUGUCUCUGCUAGGUAGUGCCACCACUGCUGAUUCAUGCUUGCUAUCCUGUCUCUACCGAACUGGACUGCUGGUGCAGCCGUGAAGUGUUGUGAGUAGAUCGAGCUGCUGCUGCCAACCUGUGAACUGAACUGCUGAUUUCCAGACAACACAGACGGGAGUUGCUCCAAAGAACCUUUCUAAACAGGUACACACACACACACACACACACACACACACACACCAUCCUUUCUGUUCCACUCUCUUUGGUGGGUGGUGGGUUAAAAGGGAGUUUAAAGCAUUUAAGAGCCAUCAUUGAAAGUAAGGUUUGAAAAAAAUUAAACUUAUACUCCAGGGUUAUAUAACAUGUACUAAGAAACAAAGUCUUCGCUUUCCGUGACACCUACCAUCAAUAUAAUCAAUAUUUAAUUAAAAUACCAAGCUGGGACUGUUAAGAAACUUUUCAUAAGAUGUCUUUAAAGAAAAAAAAGGCCCAUAGUUGGAUUUGGAUGUAUGAUGGUUUUAUUUACAACUUUAUUGGCAAAAGAAGGGGCAGACUUUAAACAGCUUUGGUACAGGGCUCUGUAGCUGACCCUGACAGAUUGGAUAAAUCCCAUUCUCAGGGUCUAUCUCAUUGUCCACAGGUAUAUAUUACUGAACCUGCAUAUGCUGUUUCCUUUAUCAAGUACAGUGCUUGUCUUUUAGGCAGUCCUUAAAACAUACAAAUACAAAGGAAAGGGAACCACUCAUUAAAAAUGGCAUCAAACAGAAAGUAUUUUAAGUUAGGACCUUUGGAAGAGCAGUCAGUGCUCUUAAGCACUGAGCCAUCCCUCCAGCCAUGGGCAUUCUUUAUUUAUCAACUACUCUAACUUACUAUGAGAUGUAGUCAGAGUCCGAACAGAGAGGCCUUUUUUGGGGGACAGAAUUCCCCCUGAACCCUCUGGGGAAAUAAACAUUCCGUUGAUUCCAGGUGGCGAAACAAUUAACACAGACAACUUGAAUUUAUGUUGCUCACAUUGAGCUCAUUUUCUUCCUUGACUUAUUUGAUGUCAUUCUUGUAAAUCAAGUGUGCUUAAUUCUUCUGGCUCAUCCCGAUCUUCACCUAGUGAACAGAUUUUCCUCAACAGGGUCAACAUUGAGCCUGUCUUUUUGUUCAUUUUCUUGUCCCUCUGCUCUGCUGUCUUUGUCCCUAUUACUCCCUUCACCAUCUUCAGCCUGAGUUCCAAAAACUUUUCCUAACUUGUUUUUGUCUUUACCUGAAGUAUGUGUGCUGAAUCUUUAAGGACUGGCUGCAGUGAAACCUGUCCUACAUCCCUUGGGCCGUGCAGGCCUAAGUCUGCAUCUCUACACUCACAGAACCAUCCAUCUUGGUACUGCCUGGCCCCUGACUGUCAUGGGUACCAUCUGCUUCCUCAUCAACAUCACCAACCAGCUCAGGAGAAUUCAAACACCUCAUGGCCACUUGAUCACUGCAGUUUUCCCUACUUUGAAGUCAAGCCUUCUGGCUUUCCAUAUCUUGUUCAAGUUUAUCAAUCUUUCCUUAUCUUUGUUUUUUUUCUCCCAUGAGAGAAAAUAUUCUAGAGUGAUUUUUGGUAACAUUUGGAGCUAAGGCUCUCUGUCAAUUAUAUCUUCUGGUGAAAUUUCAUCUUAUUUCUCUCUCUCUUUCUGUCUUUCUCAGCAUGAAUCCAGUAGAAAUACAAGCAGUUGUAUCUGCCUCCAGCACAACCUGAACCAGCCACACUUGUUCCUUUCAAGAGCUCAAGAGAAUAUCUGCACACUCUUUGAGGUUUUGGUUUUUUCUUUUCUGCCACACUGUAACUCUUCAUUACCAGCUGUCCUUCAUCAUGAUUAACUGUGGUGGUUCAAGUUCUUCAUCUCUUGCAGCAACGUAGACGCUUUGUUUUUCACAUUUUCCCUCCAAAAUGAAGCCAUGAGAGAACGAACUUACAUUUGCCCUGCUAGUGUACUGCCCUUGUUUGAGGACGCACACUCCACAGCUAUGGGAUGUACACACCUUUACUUACUUGUGCAGAGACCAUGGGCUGAAGCAGCUCACUCAGAUCUUGUACCUUUCUUCUUGUCACCUUUCUUCAAAUUCUUUUCAGCGCCACUUUGUGCUACUUAAUGUGGAUUCUGUUCACCACGUCUCACAUGAUGAGACCACCUUCACACACUCCUGUUGCUUUUGUUCUUCUCUCUCUCUCUUUCUCUCUAGCUUUUUAUUGAUUCUUUGUGAAUUUACAUCAUGCACCCCAAUCCCACUCACCAUCCCAUCUCCUUGUAUCUGCCCUCCAUGCUUGCAAUCUUUUCCCCAAAAGAAAAUAAAAUCUUGCCA